GACUCCCCCGCCCCUUCCUGCUGGUCUUUAAUUGGACGGCCCAGGUGACGCAGAACCUACGUAACUAGAAGGUGGUGCGUGCACGCCGCCCGAGUCGGUUGGCUAAUUUGCGGCUCGUGGACGCGGACUGAACUAAGUCCGCCUCUUCUGUCCCCUUCUCCCUGGAGUAGUUUCUUCCUCGCAUCUCACAUGCGCAGUUUCUUCGCCCCACCUUACUCGAGCUUCGUCCAAUCACUUCGGUUCCCAGAAUCAAUAUGGUGUAUUGGUUCCCAGGCAGAAGAGCAGGAAGGGCUAGGCAGUGAGAGGAUGAAAGGAGAAAGGAGAGAGUGAAGAAUCUAGGGAAGAGAGAACAGUCAGGAUACUGCAGUUAGAUGGGGUGAGUUACCUGGAUUCUGGCAGGUCCGAGAAAGAGGAAGAAGAAGCAGCAGGAGAGCAGGUGGCAACAAUGUUUGGGGAUACGCCUGACCCUCCCAAGGGAAAAACCUCUUUUCGAAGGCAAGGUCGAGAAGGUGGUGGGGCCCGAGCCAGCUCCCCACCCCCAACUGUAUGCCUUCUGGGUCUAGGCCUAUUUGGAUGUGGAGAGAAGGCUGACCAUGCACAUCCCCCUUCCCCAGGAGGUCCCAGGUCCGGGCAGGAGUGGCUUCGACCCAAAGAAGGCCUAGGAGUAGCAGGGAGGCCAGGGCCCUGAGCCCUCCACUGACGGAUGGGGGGACGGGGGCUUACAGGCCCCUCCCCCUCCUCUACCCGGACUCUCCCAGACUCCGGGGCUUCAGAGAUGGCAAUCUUCAGUUCCAGCUUCAUAGGAUUUCCAGGCCCUAAACCUGUUCUCAUCUCCUGGAUGGAAGAAGAAACAUAGGUAUGGGACAGGAGCCCAAGAUCCUAAGGAGAAAAAGAAUCGUACAAGAAAAACCUACAGAGGUUUCCAUCUUUUGGAUAAGUUCCAGUUUGAGAUCUUCCAGAGCUUGUUGAUAGUUUCCAUUUUGGGAGGCAUGUUCUGAUUUUUUUUGGAUUUCCUCCUGAUUCUCCUCUUUUCCUUGAGUACUUCCACCAUAAAAGUUUUCAAUAGUCACUUUUUUCCCUUUCUUCCUGGAGGAUUGAUUUUGGGCCAUGUGCGCCAUCCCUUUGGUGGUUUUAUUCCCCUUUCCUUUUUUGGUCUGAGGUCUGGGUUAUAUGAGCGGUUUUUCUGUGAAUUUAGGUUGCUUCAGACUAGUUCUUCCCAGCCUCCGAGGUUUCUUAGAGCGCUGGGUCCCUGAUCACAGCCACACUGCCCAGGUGUUCAGCUCCGCCCAGAUAAUCAACACGUGGUCAGCCCCUGGUGUUUAGCUCCUCGGAGAUGUUCUGCGCAGCCGCCCCAAGUACAGCUCCGCUGACCCCCGUAAUCAGCGCUGGAUUCUCCAGUGAAACCGCCCUGAGACUUUUUUCCUGGCAGUCCCCAGAUCCCAAGGACCCUGGAGUGCCCCCCCCCAGACAGAGACGUUCCCCACUCACUCGCUGUCCCCCUGAGCGCUCAGGUAGCUCACUCUGGUUUGGUGGGGGAGGUGGGGUGGGGGAAGGGCAGCUCAGUUCACUUUUCUGUGCAAGCUUUUCCUCCUUAUUAUAGUGUGGAAAUGUUCAAGCCCCACGUACCUUCGCCUCUGUGGAGUACUGGGAGUACUGGGGUGUCCUUCUGUUCCUCCAAAGGUAGUUUUUAUGCUGCUUUGAUGUAGUCUAUUUCGUUGGGUGCCGGGGAGAGGAAGCGUGUGGCGUCUAGAUUGCAGCCAUGCUUACCCGGAAGUCCAACAAAAGGAAAUUUCUCAUUGGGGGUAUCUAAAAAGUACAUCUCAGCCUGUACUCUAAGGCCUGCCUAUCAAGAAGUAGUAGACCGCAUCUUUCUUCAGGAAUUGUGGCAGGUCAGAGUUCCCAAUUUUGGUUAAAUUUGUGGAUGAAAGGCCACCACACUGUUUCCUGUCAAUCUUCCACAUUAGCUUCACCCCUCUAAAAGAAACUAUUCUCAAAACUCCCACAAUUCUCAGACUUUGCCCCAGGUACACAAAUGCUUUCUCACAUUUUUCUCAGAGCUAGAAAGAACCUCAGCAAUGAUUUAGUCAAAUCUAUAUUUGAACAGAAACCCCUUCUUCAACAUGUCUCACAAGUGAUCAUCCAUCCACCUGCUAGAAGGCCUCCUGUUUUGAUUGGGAACUUAAUUACAUCCUAAGAUAGUCUAUUCCAUUCUUGUAUUUCUCUAGUUGUUUGGAAAUUUUCUUUACAUUGACCUUGUCUGUCUUUCUGAAACUUCAACCCAUACCUCCUAAUUUUAUCCUUUUGGCCAGUCAGAACAAGUAUACUCUUUCUUCCAUGCGAUAGCCCCUCAAACAAUUAAAAAUAGCCACUUUGUGCCCACUUCAAGCUUUUUAAUAGCUAUUGUUACCUUUAUGAUUUUUUUUAUUCACUUGCCUCAAAUGGGGAUCUUGAGAAUCUAGAGGCUAUUUCUUUCUUUUCUUUUUUAAUAACCUUUUCUUUCUGAGUUAGUGACAGUACUAGGACAGAAGGGCAAGAGCUAAGCAAUUGGGGUUAAGUGAUUUGCCCAGGAUCAUGAGGUCAAAUUUAGACCCAAGUCCUCUCAACUCUAAACCUGUCUUUUAAUCCACUGAGCUAUGUGGCUGCUCCUGGAGGCUAUUUCUAACAAAUAUUUAUCAACUCCUUAUUCGCUAAAAGUACUGUUGUGUAUCUAGGUUGCCAGGAUUCCCUUGUUGCUCCAAAAUUUAUCAAUGCUUCAUUUUUUAAAGGGCAAGGCAAUGAGGGUUAAGUGACUUGCCUAGGGUCACAUAGCUAGGAGAUAUCAGAGACCAGAUUUGAACCCAAGACUUCCCAUCUCUUAAGCCACCUGUCUACCCUCAAAGGAUGAUUUUACCUAGUUCUUUUUCUCUUCUAUCCACACACCGCAGUAUAUAGGAUCAUAGACUUAAAAUGGACCUUAGAAGCCAAGCAGUCCUCACCACACCUCAUUUUCUAGAUUAGAAAACUGAGGCCCAAGGAAAUUAAGUGAGAGAGUUUGGAACUCAGAAUUAAAAAAAAAUAAAUGUUAAGGUUCCACUAUAACCCGAAGGGAUUCAUAAUUAAAAAAAAAAAACUAUCCACAGUCAAAGAAGGAACUGUUGGAAUCUGAUUUCAGAUCAAAGCAUGCCAUCUUUCACUUUCUUUCCUUGUUUCACUUUCUUUCCUUCAUGAGUUUUUUAUUGUAUGUGGGAUAUGUGACUUCAGUCAUGACAUGGGGAAUAUGGAAAUAUGUAUUGCAAGAAAGCAUUGCUAUAACCUAUAUUCAACUAUUUAUUGUCUCAGGGUCUGGGGAAAGGGGAAAGAGAGAACCUGAAUCACAAAAAUUUCAGAAAACAAAUUGUCAAAAAUUGUUUCUAUAUUGUAAUAGUUAAGAGAGUGGUCACCAAUUUGAAAGAAUUAAAUUAAACUUAUGAGGCUGUUAGUAGCUUUAACAAUUUAAUUUAAUUUAAAUGGAGAUAUAGUAAAAAGGGGGAAACAUAGGAAGGAGAUAGAGAAUUGCCUAUCUUAAUACCCUAGAGUCGGUCUUCAAUAAAAGUCACCAAUAUCAGAAUCUAUUUCAAGCCAGAGUCUAUAUCUGAAUCUGAGUCUCAGUCCUCUCCCACUUCCUGCUGGGUCUCAACUUAUAAGCAGUUUUCUUCACCCACUAGCUCUCCAACAUCACCUCCCAGGAACCAAUCACAGUUCCUCAAUUUGCCUGGCACCACCCAGGGGGCAGUGCCUGUGGGAUCAAUUUCCUGUCUCCAAGGGUGUGCUUGUUCUUGCAAUGAAUGGUAAAGGGUCUUCAAGAUUCUGACUGAUUACAUUAAAAGUUGCUGAUUGAUUUAAAUUAUUUAAAAAGAGAAGUCCAAAUUCCUGAUUAAUUAAAUAAAAAAACAAAUUCCCUUCUCACAAUUCCCCCUGUGAUUCUAUUGGGAGAUGUGCAUGUUGAAAUCCCCCUCAUUUGACGGUCUCUGGAGAUUAACAUGCCUAGUCUCUCCAAUGAAUCAUUUCAAAUAACCAACCUAUUUGAGUCUCCCACUAGAAGUGCAUAAAAUAUUGCAUUUUCUAAGGGGAGAUUAUAAAAUCUGGGGACAAAAGAGAAAGAAAACAGAAACAAUAAUUAAUAGAAGCAUUGACAAAAAGCCAAUUAGGGGGCAUUCCCCUCUGGCAUAAGAAUUUACAUUCAGAAUAAAUUAUAUGUUCAACUGCCCACAGUUCAAUUCACCACAUCCCAGAGUUCACUCUGGAUCUCUAUGUAGCGGGUGGUUUCCACUAGUAUCCCCUGGCACCCUUUUCAAAAGAUUCACUUUCUUGAUUGAAGGUGCUAGCAAGUUUCUUUUCCUAAAAUUCGUUCAAAAGAUUUCAAACCCUGGAAUAUAGGAUAAUUAUACAAUAUGUAAUUGAAAUUUUUAAAUUCAAUUAAAAUGAAUGUUUUUUUAAAUCUAUGUAAUUGAAAAAUAUCUAAUAAAAUAAAUUAAAAUAUUUUUUAUUUUUAUUUUUGAUGUUUGCACUAGGAUGUUUAUUUAGAAUCUAUAUCCUCAAUCAUAUCCCCCUCGACCCAUGUAAUCAAGCAGUUGUUUUUCUUCUGUGUUUCUUCUCCCACAGUUUUUCCUCUGGAUGUGGAUAGUGUUCUUUCUCAUAGAUCCCUCUGAGUUGUUCAGGAUCACUGCAUUGCCACUAAUGGAGAAGUCCAUUACAUUUGAUUGUACUACAGUGUAUCAGUCUCUGUGUACAAUGUUUUCCUGGUUCUGCUCCUCUCACUCUGCAUCACUUCCUAGAGGUUGUUCUGGUCACCAUGGAAUUCCUCCACUUUAUUAUUCCUUUGAGCACAAUAGUAUUCCAUCACCAACAUGUACCAAAAUUUGUUCAACCAUUCCCAAAUUGAAGGGUAUCCCCUCAUUUUCCAAUUUUUUGCCACCACAAAGAGCGCAGCUAUGAAUAUUCUUGUACAUGUCUUUUUCUUUAUCUCUUUGGGGUACAAAACCAGCAGUGCUAUGACUGGAUCAAAGGGCAGACAGUCUUUUAGCACUCUUUGGGCGUAGUUCCAAAUUGCCCUCCAGAAUGGUUGGAUCAAUUCACAACUCCAUCAGCAGUGUAUUAAUGUCCCAACUUUGCCACAUUCCCUCCAACAUUCAUUACUUUCUUUUGCUGUCAUGUUAGCCAAUCUGCUAGGUGUGAGGUGAUACUUCAGAGUUGUUUUGAUUUGCAUCUCUCUGAUUAUAAGAGAUUUAUAACACUUUUUCAUGUAUUUAUUAAUAGUUUUGAUUUCUUUAACUGAAAAUUGCCUAUUCAUGUCCUUUA